ensembl:snoRNA
GUCCUUCUUAAAAGCACUUGCUUCGUCUGCUCAGUGGCUGGGUGAGUUGUCGUGGAAGGAUAAAGUAAACCCCAUUGCUCUUGGGUGAGAUGGCAGUCUCCACAUGCUGUUUAAUCUCAAUCCGUGAUGGAACAAAU